rnacentral:lncRNA from 1 species
CCACUGAUUGCACUGUUGCCUUGGAGACUGCGCCUCGUGAGGCUUUCUCCGACUGCCGUCCCCAGGGCAAGGUGGGCUGGUGGUGUGAGCAGAACCAGGCGGCACUCACGGCUUCUCGUGGAGGUCAGGAUGCCCGAGUCCACAACGCCACAGACCUGGACAGGUCACUUCCUUUUUGCGAGAGACACCAGGAAAGGGAGUUAAAUCCAUCUCACAAAACCAAGAAGAGACUCAACUAGAAAGAAUCUCCAAGACUGUAUCUCUCGUGUGUCUCAGGAGAUGGGAAAACGGAUGUUCAGAGUGGCCCGCUCCACAGAGGCAGCACAAGGAGCCGGGCUGCCUCCUGUGAGGAGAACUAGCGGGUAAUGACUGGCGUAUCAACAGCCGGUCAGAAGCUCCUUUAGGGAAAGCACCAUGUCUUUGUAUCCUGCAGUGCCUGAGACAAUGCGUGUGCAUAGUGUGGCCUCCACAGAUAACUUCGAGGUCAAGAUCCUCUUCAGGACAGCUGAAGGAACUGAAACCUCAG